UGUUUGACCCCUUCGCAGAAUCUCGCCUUGAGUAUAACCCUCGAUAUAUGGAGGGCCUGGUGGAUCUAAAAUAUAAGCAAUAACAAAGGAGAACGGAAAGCUGAACGGUCGACCGCAACGGCAUAUCUGGAGGCAACGCCUUAUGCUUCGCUUGACAGUGUAGCGUUUUGAGGAAGUCUCUUCAAUUUUAUCAACGCGACCUAAAAAUAUGGAAUGGAACAGAUCUUAGAAAUCUUUCACUAAUCAGCGCUGUCACGCAAUCCAACGCAACAAAGAUAUAACAGCUACACUGUUGUCCAAAUGCUGAGAUGGCGAGCAAGGCAAUUAAAAUG